AUUAUUUCAAACAUUUGAAACUAGUCACAACUUCAUUUAAGUAAUAAACACAUAUUUUGUUUUACAAAAUGAAGACAGUCACUUUUUUUAUAUUAUUCCUUUCAAUGAUGGGUACCGUUUUAGGUUCAUCAAUAAAUGGCAUUCUAACUACAGUUCAAAGAUUCAAUGGAGUGACAUUUCCAUUUAUGAGAUUUUUGACAAUGCCAAUUCCAAUUGUUAAUGUUCUUGUAAUGCAAAUAACUGACUUCAUAACAGCAAUAUUGUCUACAUCACAACUCGCAAUCUCCGUAUACAAUAUGUUAUAAAUAAAAAUAUGUUAAGCAAAUCGGAUAAAUAGCUGGUUCAAUCACUCUUAAUGCUGCUCUCAUCUUAGUAAAUACCAUUCAGAGGUUUAAUGUAGCGGCAUUUCCUGUUGUUAGAUUUUUUAUAAAAUUGAUUCCAUUUUUGAACGAUGACUUUGUGGAGUUAAUUAUCAGUGACCUUACUAUAUUACUAAUUUUGUUAAAACGUGUGCUUUUAGUUUAACACUCUUGUCAAUUUUUAAAUGUAUCUAACACAAAUAAAAGACGGUUGGUUGAAUU